rnacentral:rRNA from 1 species
UCCAGACUCCUACGGGAGGCAGCAGUGAGGAAUAUUGGUCAAUGGGCGGGAGCCUGAACCAGCCAAGUCGCGUGAGGGAAGACGGUCCUAUGGAUUGUAAACCUCUUUAGGCGGGGAGCAAUGCCGGGCACGCGUGUCCGGAGGGAGAGUACCCGCAGAAUAAGCAUCGGCUAACUCCGCGCCAGCAGCCGCGGUAAUACGGAGGAUGCGAGCGUUAUCCGGAUUUAUUGGGCGUAAAGCGCGCGUAGGCGGCCUGUUAGGUCGGGGGUCAAAUACCGGGGCUCAACCCCGGUCCGCCCCCGAUACCGGCAGGCUUGAGUCUGGUAGGGGAAGGCGGAAUUCCCAGUGUAGCGGUGGAAUGCGCAGAUAUUGGGAAGAACACCGGCGGCGAAGGCGGCCUUCUGGGCCACGACUGACGCUGAGGCGCGAAAGCUAGGGGAGCGAACAGGAUUAGAUACCCUUGUA